GUUGGACACUCAACCAACUGAGCUACACAGGUAUUCUAAAGCUUUAAGUUUUCCUCUAAGUGUCCUGUGUUGGAUGUAUCCCCAUAAAUUCUGCCUCCAGAACCACCCAUCCCCCACAAUGCAGCUAUAUUCCCAACCUCAUCAGUCAUCACAUCCAUGACAGUUGCUCAGUUACAAUCAAGAUCACCUCUCUGAAAGUUCCACACACUUAAUCACUGCACUUACCGUUCCCUGGACCUACUUUAUGUCUGUUCAUCUAAGCUAUAGUUUCUUCAAAACCUACCUCAUCUGUGAAGAUUUCCUAGUGCCACUCCAAAGGUAAGCCUUUCUAGAUUCCUAUCUGUUCCUGUGUUCCCUUAUCUGUUACAUCUUCCAUUCUCAGAACUUACUUGAUGAAGGAUGAUUAUGUUGUGUAUCAUUUAUCUUGAAUGUGUGUGUAUUUCAGUCUGUUCUCAAAUUAAAAAAAACAGCUUUCACAUGAUAAAUAUAAAACCUCCUAAGUCACUUCCAGUGAGAAUUUAGAAAUAUCUCGAGAUACCCAAUGACUUGCACAAUUAUAGGUUAUGCAAGCAAUUAAUACAUCUUCAGUAUAUCCCAAUUUCACUGGGAAGAACAAAGCUAAUCCAUGAGUCUCACCAACCCACAAAGAUAAAGGGUCACAUUAUACCUUUUC